UAUUAUGCUGAUAGGACAUUAAUUGGCCUUUUUUAAGGUGUCAAUCAAACUCUAUCAGCUUUUUCUUAUUCUUGUAUCUCUUAUAUGUACUCAUUAUUUGGUAGGACUUAUGUAUACUUCACUCAAUGGUUUCCCUUCAAGUUCCAUCUCUUCUUCAUGUAUAUCAUUAACAUAUUCUUGGGUUGAUACAUUUUUCUUUUUCCUCUUGUAGCAUAGCAACAUGUGCAUAUAUUGUCAAGAAACUAUUGACCAUUUCUUCUGCAGAUGUAAAAGAUCCUAUGAGUCGGGUCUUGUUGAGGAAUGAUGAUGAACGUAAGUUAAAGUUCUCUUCUGUCAUGUUUGGAAGAACUCUUUUCAGUGUCUUGGGUGUGCUUGCAUUGGCAACUGUCGUAGGUACUAUCAUUAUUGAUGGCUUUCCUUUUCAGAAGGAGUUGUUGACACCCUGGUGUUAUACCCUUUUCAUAAGCAUGACAUCAGCUGAACCUAUGAAAGACAUUCAAAUUCUUUUGUGAAUCCAGCUGAACCUAUGAAAGACAUUCAAAUUCUUUUGUGAAUCCAGCUGAUGUCAUGCUGAUGAACACGGUGGAUGGCUGCAACCUUGAUUGACUUUUAUAUAAAUGUUAUUGCCAUAUCAGUGUGGGUUGCUUAAAAGGAAUAAACAUGGAUAAGUGCAUUAAUUUGGAUUUGUUCGUUAAUAUGUUUUGGCAGCAUUGCCACAUGUGCGUACAUCGUCCGUCAGCUUUUCCAGCUCUCUUAUCAAGACUCAAUGUACCAUAUCUUAUUGGAUUCUCACAGCAAGCAUGGAAGUACAUUCUCCAAGUAAUAUACGAACUCUUGUGUUUUAUUGUACCAUCCACCUGAGCACCCUGUGUAUUAACUGGACAUCCAUUGUUGUUUCAUAAACCUUGUAAUGCUUGUCAUAUACUCAUAUUUUUAUACAAUUAUCCACAAUCACGGCUUCAUUGCAGAACUAUCAACUUCAACUUCUGUUUACGUAUAAAAUUCAUUUUUAGUCACUUA